UACGUAGGGGGCUAGCGUUGUCCGGAAUCAUUGGGCGUAAAGAGCGUGUAGGCGGUCCGGUAAGUCCGCUGUGAAAGUCGGGGGCUCAACCCUCGAAUGCCGGUGGAUACUGUCGGGCUAGAGUGCGGAAGAGGCGAGUGGAAUUCCUGGUGUAGCGGUGAAAUGACGCAGAUAUCAGGAGGAACACCAGUGGCGAAGGCGACUACCUGGCCUGUUCUUGACGCUGAGGCGACGAAAGCUAGGGGAGCAAACGGG
rnacentral:rRNA from 1 species